rnacentral:rRNA from 1 species
GAUGAACGCUGGCGGCGUGCCUAAUACAUGCAAGUCGAGCGAACGGACGAGAAGCUUGCUUCUCUGAUGUUAGCGGCGGACGGGUGAGUAACACGUGGAUAACCUACCUAUAAGACUGGGAUAACUUCGGGAAACCGGAGCUAAUACCGGAUAAUAUUUUGAACCGCAUGGUUCAAAAGUGAAAGACGGUCUUGCUGUCACUUAUAGAUGGAUCCGCGCUGCAUUAGCUAGUUGGUAAGGUAACGGCUUACCAAGGCAACGAUGCAUAGCCGACCUGAGAGGGUGAUCGGCCACACUGGAACUGAGACACGGUCCAGACUCCGACGGGAGGCAGCAGUAGGGAAGCGUCCGCGAUGGGCGAAAGCCUGACGGAGCAACGCCGCGUGAGUGAUGAAGGUCUUCGGAUCGUAAAACUCUGUUAUUAGGGAAGAACAUAUGUGUAAGUAACUGUGCACAUCUUGACGGUACCUAAUCAGAAAGCCACGGCUAACUACGU